GCUUGUGUGGCUCAGCUGGCAGAGCAGCUCACUCGUAAUGAGCAGGUCGCCGGUUCGAAUCCGGCCACAAGCU
rfam:Firmicutes bacterium CAG:176 genomic scaffold, scf76